CGCCUCUUGUUAAUAAUAAGAGGUCCAGCCUGCCCAGUGACAAAGUUCAACGGCCGCGGUACCCUAACCGAGCGAAGGUAGCAUAAUCACUUGUUCUUUAAAUAAGGACUUGUAUCAAUGGCACCACGAGGGUCGUACUGUCUCCUUUCUCCAAUCAGUGAAACUGAUCUUCCCGUGAAAAAGCGGGAAUACACAUAUAAGACGAGAAGACCCCAUGGAGCUUUAAACCUCCAGCAACUUAACUAUAAAUUUCUUCACAACCCCAAAGAAAUGCUUGUUGGUUUUAGGUUGGGGUGACCACGGAGUAAAAACCAACCUCCGCAACGCAUAAACCUAAAUUUUUAUUUAAGAGCCACAACUCUAAAAAAUAGUAUACUAACGUACACUGAUCCGAUAAUCGAUUAAUGAACCAAGUUACCCUGGGGAUAACAGCGCAAUCUAUUUUAAGAGUUCAUAUCGACAAAUAGGCUUACGACCUCGAUGUUGGAUCAGGGUAUCCCAGUGGUGCAGCCGCUACUGAUGGUUCGUUUGUUCAACGAUUAAAACCCU
rnacentral:rRNA from 1 species